rnacentral:rRNA from 1 species
AUGGAAAAUGAGCUCGACGCUUUCUCGGAAGAGCUUCAACGACGGCCAGAAGUAAGGAUCAUCAACACCUAUGCGCUCGUUUCCGCGUACGUCCGAAUUGUCCUGAAAACCAUCGGGGCCCUGAUGCUUUUGUGGGCCACCGUGGUCCUCCUCGGCGGUUUCGUCUCCGAUCUGACCAAGAGGGACUUUUGGUGUCUGACCAUCCUCUCAUUCCUGCAGGCCGCCGGGUUAGUGCUUAGUAUUCAGUUUCCUCUCGUAUGUAGCACUCCUUUGUACUCCCUUUCUAAACGCUCUUAUAUUAGUUUACAGAGGGAGUAUCUUUCUCCUUGA